rnacentral:rRNA from 1 species
UACGUAGGGUGCGAGCGUUGUCCGGAAUUAUUGGGCGUAAAGAGCUUGUAGGUGGUUUGUCGCGUCUGCUGUGAAAAUCCGAGGCUCAACCUCGGACUUGCAGUGGGUACGGGCAGACUAGAGUGCGGUAGGGGAGAUUGGAACUCCUGGUGUAGCGGUGGAAUGCGCAGAUAUCAGGAAGAACACCGAUGGCGAAGGCAGAUCUCUGGGCCGUAACUGACGCUGUGGCGCGAAAGCUAGGGGAGCAAACGGG